rnacentral:rRNA from 1 species
UACGUAGGGUGCGAGCGUUAAUCGGAAUUACUGGGCGUAAAGUGUGCGCAGGCGGCCGAGCAAGUCGAGUGUGAAAGCCCCGGGCUUAACUUGGGAAUUGCGCUCGAAACUACUUGGCUGGAGUGUGGCAGAGGAAGGUGGAAUUCCCGGUGUAGCGGUGAAAUGCGCAGAUAUCAGGAGGAACACCGGUGGCGAAGGCGGGAUCCUGGGCCAGUACUGACGCUGAGGAGCGAAAGCGUGGGGAGCAAACAGG